rfam:Oryza glumipatula chromosome 3, whole genome shotgun sequence.
UUUAAGUGCAACCAUGAGUUUUCGCGCUUAAAUUUGAUUGUUUGUCUUAUUUGAAAUUAUUUAUAAUUAGUAUUUUUGUUGCUAUGAGAUGAUAAAACAUGAAUAAUACUUUACUCGUAACUUAUAUUUUCAAAUUUUUUCAAUUUUUUUUAAAUAAGACAUACAAUUAAAGUUGGUCGCGAAAAAUCGUAGCUACAUUUAAA